rnacentral:rRNA from 1 species
AUUGAACGCUGGCGGCAGGCUUAACACAUGCAAGUCGAGCGGGGUGAUGGUGCUUGCACUAUCACUUAGCGGCGGACGGGUGAGUAAUGCUUAGGAAUCUGCCUAUUAGUGGGGGACAACAUCUCGAAAGGGAUGCUAAUACCGCAUACGUCUUACGGGAGAAAGCAGGGGAUCACUUGUGACCUUGCGCUAAUAGAUGAGCCUAAGUCGGAUUAGCUAGUUGGUGGGGUAAAGGCCUACCAAGGCGACGAUCUGUAGCGGGUCUGAGAGGAUGGUAGGCCACACUGGGACUGAGACGCGGCCCAGACUCAUAGGGGAGUCAGCAGUGGGGAAUAUUGGACUAUGGGGGGAACCAUGAUCCAGCCAUGCCGCGGGUGUGAAGAGGGCCUUAUGGUUGUAAAGCACUUUAAGCGAGGAGGAGGCUCUUUUGGUUAAUGCCCAAGAUGAGUGGACGUUACUCGCAGAAUAAGCACCGGCUAACGCUGUGCCAGCCGCCGCCGUAA